rfam:Myotis brandtii contig302929, whole genome shotgun sequence.
CUGGAGGUGGGGGGGGUUCCUCAGCCUGGAUUGUGAGAGGGUGCAGGCCAGGCCAAGGGACCCCACCGGUGCAUG